rnacentral:rRNA from 1 species
UACGGAGGGGGCUAGCGUUGUUCGGAAUUACUGGGCGUAAAGCGCACGUAGGCGGAUUUGUAAGUCAGGGGUGAAAUCCCGGGGCUCAACCUCGGAACUGCCUUUGAUACUGCAAGUCUCGAGUCCGGAAGAGGUGAGUGGAAUUCCUAGUGUAGAGGUGAAAUUCGUAGAUAUUAGGAAGAACACCAGUGGCGAAGGCGGCUCACUGGUCCGGUACUGACGCUGAGGUGCGAAAGCGUGGGGAGCAAACAGG